AUUGUGAGCUCGAUGAGUAGGGCGGGACACGUGGUAUCCUGUCUGAAUAUGGGGGGACCAUCCUCCAAGGCUAAAUACUCCUGACUGACCGAUAGUGAACCAGUACCGUGAGGGAAAGGCGAAAAGAACCCCGGCGAGGGGAGUGAAAAAGAACCUGAAACCGUGUACGUACAAGCAGUGGGAGCCUCUUAAUGGGGUGACUGCGUACCUUUUGUAUAAUGGGUCAGCGACUUAUAUUCUGUAGCAAGGUUAACCGAAUAGGGGAGCCGAAGGGAAACCGAGUCUUAACUGGGCGUUAAGUUGCAGGGUAUAGACCCGAAACCCGGUGAUCUAGCCAUGGGCAGGUUGAAGGUUGGGUAACACUAACUGGAGGACCGAACCGACUAAUGUUGAAAAAUUAGCGGAUGACUUGUGGCUGGGGGUGAAAGGCCAAUCAAACCGGGAGAUAGCUGGUUCUCCCCGAAAGCUAUUUAGGUAGCGCCUCGUGAAUUCAUCUCCGGGGGUAGAGCACUGUUUCGGCAAGGGGGUCAUCCCGACUUACCAACCCGAUGCAAACUGCGAAUACCGGAGAAUGUUAUCACGGGAGACACACGGCGGGUGCUAACGUCCGUCGUGAAGAGGGAAACAACCCAGACCGCCAGCUAAGGUCCCAAAGUCAUGGUUAAGUGGGAAACGAUGUGGGAAGGCCCAGACAGCCAGGAUGUUGGCUUAGAAGCAGCCAUCAUUUAAAGAAAGCGUAAUAGCUCACUGGUCGAGUCGGCCUGCGCGGAAGAUGUAACGGGGCUAAACCAUGCACCGAAGCUGCGGCAGCGACACUAUGUGUUGUUGGGUAGGGGAGCGUUCUGUAAGCCUGUGAAGGUG
rnacentral:rRNA from 1 species